AUAUUUUGGAAUUCUUCUAUGAAGGGAAUGCAGAGGAGAAACAAUGAAUAACUGUAUUGAAUACACAUCGCCAACUCUACUCCUUUCCGUUGAGUCAAAGCUGAUUGCCAGUCCCUGUGGCAAAGUGUGUGUGUUGCAAUCUGGAGUUGCAGAGGGAUGGAGUUACACCAGAGACAAAGGUGUGGAGUCUGACCUCUCCAGCAGCAGAUUCCAGUCCCUGAACAGAGAUGGUUCACAACAACAUGGAGGCAACCUCCUUUUACAAGGAUUUCUAUCUGAAUGAACAGAUAUUACUUAUGGAACAGGCCUUCCAACACCAGGAUUCCCAUUUGUCAGAAGUCUGGAAGAGCAGUCACAGUCCUGCACCUGCAAAAUGUGAUCUUCAAUACUCCCCAUCAAAAGUACUCAGUCCUGCAAUGUGAUUCUUCUCCUCCUGGAGUAUCAGAAAGGUCAGGAAGCAGCUCUGUUACUCAGGUGUCCUCUCAAGGAGCGCUCUACAUGCCAUAUGCCAGGAGAAUUUCCUGGGUUGCUAUUAUGGCCUAGCCUUUAAGGUGAGACUUGCCUGCCUCAGUUGAGCCCCUGGGAAGGUAAAGGAGCAAAUCAUCCUGGCAACAAUCUCCAAAGAUAUUAACAACAAUUGUUGAGAGUCUGAUGAGUGAGAAUAGACUGCACAGAUUUGCAAAGGGGAAAUUGUGCUUGACCAACCUGAUGGCCGUCUGUGAUGAAACUGCUAGCUGAGUGAAUGAAGAGAGAGCAAUGGAUAUUGUUUAUCUUGAAUUUAGCAAGGAUUUCAACACUGGACACUCUCUCCGGUAGCAUCCUCAAAAACAAACUGAAUACAGACUAAAUAAAUGGACAAUGAAGUGGACUGAAAAAACUGCU
rnacentral:lncRNA from 1 species